UACGUAGGGUGCGAGCGUUAAUCGGAAUUACUGGGCGUAAAGCGUGCGCAGGCGGUUUUGUAAGCCAGAUGUGAAAUCCCCGGGCUUAACCUGGGAAUGGCAUUUGGGACUGCAAGGCUUGAGUGCGGCAGAGGAGACUGGAAUUCCUGGUGUAGCAGUGAAAUGCGUAGAUAUCAGGAGGAAUACCGAUGGCGAAGGCAGGUCGUCUGGGCUGACACUGAC
rnacentral:rRNA from 1 species